rnacentral:tRNA from 1 species
GGACAGGUGGCCGAGUGGUUGAAGGCGCACGCCUGGAACGCGUGUAUAUGUUAAAAGCGUAUCGAGGGUUCGAAUCCCUCUCUGUCCGCCA